UUAUGUAAAGCAAUUCAAUAAUAAAUAACCAUAACAAUUACUGAACAUUAAUGCAAAGCAAUUCAAUAAUAAAUAACAAUAAUAAUUGUUAAAAUUUAAUGCAAAACAGUUCAAUAAUAAAUAACCAUAAUAAUUAUUGAACAAUAAUGCAAAACAGUUCAAUAAUAAAAUAACCAUAAUAAUUAUUGAAUAUUAAUGUAAAACAGUUCAAUAAUAAAAUAACAACAAUAAUUAUUGAACAUAAUGCAAAACAAUUCAAUAAUAAAAUAACCAUAAUAAUUAUUGAAUAUUAAUGUAAAACAGUUCAAUAAUAAAUAACCAUAAUAAUUAUUGAACAUUAAUAAAACUCAUAUGAUAAUUUCAAGCAUAUACAUGUGAAUAAAUAAAUG
rnacentral:lncRNA from 1 species